rnacentral:snRNA from 1 species
UUUUUAUGUUUAGUGUCUGUUUU